rnacentral:rRNA from 1 species
GAGUGUGAUCCUGGCUCAGGAUGAACGCUAGCGACACGCUUAACACAUGCAAGUCGAGGGGCAGCGGGUACAUGAGCUUGCUCAUUUAUGCCGGCCACCGGCGCACGGGUGAGUAACACGUCUGCUACCUGUCCGUCUCACGGGGAUAAUCGUCGGAAACGGUGUCUAAUACCCCGUAUGAAGCCCGACGGCAUCGUGUGGUUUUGAAAGAAUAUCCGACACCGAUGGGCAUGCGGCGCAUUAGCUGGUUGGCGGGGUAACGGUCCACCAAGGCGACUAUGCGUAGGGGUUCUGAGAGGAAGGUCCCCCACACUGGUACUGAGACACGGACCAGACUCCUACGGGAGGCAGCAGUGAGGAAUAUUGGUCAAUGGGCGAGAGCCUGAACCAGCCAAGUCGAGUGAGGGAGUACUGCCCUAUUGGUUGUAAACCUCUUUUGUCGGGGAGCAAAAGCCGGACGUGUCCGUCUGUGAGAGUACCCGAAGAAAAAGCUUCGGCUAAUUCCGUGCCAGCAGCCGCGGUAAUACGGAGGAUGCGAGCGUUAUCCGGAUUUAUUGGGUUUAAAGGGUGCGCAGGCGGAUUUUUAAGUCAGCGGUCAAAUCGUGGGGUUCAACCCCAUCCAGCCGUUGAAACUGGGGAUUUAGAGUGUGCGAGAGGUAUGCGGAAUGCGUGGUGUAGCGGUGAAAUGCAUAGAUAUCACGCAGAACCCCGAUUGCGAAGCAGCAUACCGGUGCACAACUGACGCUCAGGCACGAAAGCGUGGGUAUCGAACAGGAUUAGAUACCCUGGUAGUCCACGCAGUAAACGAUGA